GCAUUAAAACUAUAAUAAUGGGGGAUAUCAAUGAUGCUGUCUCAGAAGUAGAUAAAUUGAAGCACAAAAUAAAUAAGAAAGAAGUAAAGAAGGUAAAUAGAAUUCUAGAGUAGUUAGGUAUGAUAGACCUUUCGAGAAAAUUGAAUGGAGGCAGAAAGGAAUAUAUUUUUUUCUCAGAAGUACAUGGAAUCUAUACAAAAAUUGACCAUGUAUUAGGACAUAAAAAUCUCAAAUGAAAUGUGGAAAGGCAGAAAUAGUAAAUGCAUUUUUGAGAUCGUGAUGCAAUAAAAAUUACAUGCAAUAAAAGGCCAGGGGAAAAUAGGCCAAAAUUAAUUGGAAACUAAUCUAAUUCUAAAAAAUGAGUGGGCAAAACAACAAUUGAUAAUUUCAUCCAAGAGAAUGACAAUAAUGAGACAACAUGCCAAAAUUGAUGGGAUGCAGCCAAAACAGUUGUUAGGGGAAGUUUUCUAUCUCUAGAUGCUUACUUGCAUAAAAUAUAGAAAGAGAAGAUUAAUGAAUUGGGCUAAAAAUUUAGAAAAAGAACAAAUUAAAAAACCCCAAUUAAAUGCCAAAUUUGAAUUUCUGAAAAUAAAGAAGAGAUAAAUAAAAUUGAUAAUAAUUGAUAAUAAAAUAAUAAAAAUAAUAAAAUAAAACUGAAAGUAAGAGCAAUAAUUAGGAAUUAUUUUGUCAAUAAAUCUUACGUAUGCCAAUAAAUCUUAUAAUCUAAGUGGAAUCGAGAAAUACCUACAAAAAUAUAGAUUGCCCAGAUUAACAGAAAGGAAAUAAACUACUUAAAUCAUCCAAUUUCAGAAAAAAGAAAUAGCACAAGCUAUUAAUCAACUCUCUAAAAAAAAAAAAUCUCUAGGGCCAAAUGGAUUUACAUAUGAAUUCUACCAAACGUUUAAAGAGCAAUUAAUUCUAAUACUAUGCAAACUAUUUGAAAAAAUAGGGAAAGAAAGAAUCCUACCAAAUUUCUUUUAUGACACAGAUAUGAUGUUGUAGUUGAAUCAGGUUGAGUCAAAACAGAGAAAGAAAAUUAUAGACAAAUUUCCCUGAAGAAUAUUGAUGCAAAAAUCUUAAAUAAAAUAUUAGCAAACAGAAAACAGAAAAUCAUCCCCAAGAUAAUACAACAUGACCAAGUAGGAUUUAUACCAGAAAUGCAGGCCUGGUUCAAUAUUAGGAAAACUAUUAGCAUAAUUGAAUAUAUCAAUAACCAAACUAACAAAAACCAUAUGAUUAUCUCAAUAGAUGUAGAAAAAAGCAUUUGACAAAAUCCAACACCCAUUCCUAUUAAAACCACUAGAAAGGAGAGGAAUAAAUGGAAUUUUCCUUAAAAUGAUUGAUAGCAUCUAUUUAAAAUCAUUAGCAAGCAUUAUGUGCAAUGUAAGGAUAUAUUAGAAUCAUUACCAAUAAGAUCAGGGGUGAAACAAGGUUGCCCCUCUCAACAUUUCUAUUGAAUAUUGCAUUAGAAAUAUUAGCUUUGUCAAUAAGAGAAAAAAAAGACAUUAAAGGAAUUCGAGUAAGUAAUGAGGAGACUAAAUUAUCACUCUGCAGAUGAUAUGAUGGUAUAUUUAGGGAAUCCUAGAGAAUCAACUAAAAAAACUACUAGAAACUAUUCACAACUUUAGCCAAGUUGCAGGAUACAAACUAAAUCCACAGAAAUCAUCGGUACUUUUAUUUAUUACCAACAAAGUCCAGCAGCAAAGGUACAAAGAGAAAUUCCAUUUAAACUAACUGUAGGUAAUAUAAAAUAUUUGGGAGCCUACCUGCCAAGGCAAAGGUAGGAACUGCAUGAACAUGACUACAAAACAGCUUCCAAAUAAAUAAACUCAGCUCAAAAUAUGAAGUGCUUAUGUGUAGGUUGGGUGAAUAUAAUAAAAUGACAAUACUACCUAAAUUAUCCUACUUGUUCAGUGCCAUACCAAUCAAAUUCCCAAGAAAUUACUUUACAGAUCUAAAAAAAAAAAAAAAAGAAGAAGAAGAAGAAAGUUCAUCAAGAAGAACAAAAAGUCAAGAAUCUUAAGGGAAUUAAUGGAGAAAAAUGCAAAUGAAGGUGGCCGAGCUGUACCAGACCUAAAACUAUAUUAUAAAGCAGUAAUCAUUAAUACUAUUUGAUACUGGCUAAGAAAUAGAGUAGUUGAUCAGUGGAAUAGGUUAGGUUCACAGGAGAAAAUAGUAAAUGACUAUAGUAAUCUGGUAUUUGACAAACCCAAAGACUCCAGUUUUGGGGAUAAGGACUCACUGUUUGACAAAAACUGCUAGGAAAAUUGAAAACUAGUAUGGCAGAAAUUAGGCAUUGACCAACAACCUAUUCCAAGGUAAGAUAAAAACUGAUUCAUGAUUUAUACAUAAAAAGUGAUAAUAUAAGCAAAUUAGAAGAAUAAAGGAUAGUUUAUACUUCUCAGAUCUGUGGAGAAGGAAGUUAUUUGUGGCCAAAAAAGAACUGGAGUUCAUUAUAGAACACAAAAUAAAUAAUUUUGAUUAUAUUAAGUUAAAAAGUUUUUGUACAAACAUAACCAAUACAAGAUUAGAAGGGAAGGAAAAACUGGGAAGGGGGAACAUUCAGGGAUUCUGAUAAAGGUCUCAAUUCUAAAAUAUAUAGAAGAAUUGACUCAAAUCUAUAAGAAUUCAAGCCAUUCUCUAAAUGAUAAAUGGUCAAAGGAUAUGAACUGGCAAUUUUCAGAUGAAGAAAUUGAAACCACUUCUAGUCAUAUGAAAAGAUGCUCUACAUCACUAUUGACCAGAGAAAUGCAAAUGCAAAUUAAGACACACUACAUACCUCUCAGAUUGGCUAAGGUGACAGGAAAAGAUAAUGAUGAAAGUUGGAGGGGAUGUGGGAAAACUGGGACACGAACAUAUUGUUGGUAGAGCUGUGAACACAUCCAACCAUUUUGGAGAACAAUUUGGAACUAUGUCCAAAGAGCUAUCAAAAUGUGCAUACCCUUUGAUCUGGUGGCUCUACUGGACUUAUAUCCCCAAGAAUUCAUCAAGGAGAAAAAGAAACACAAAUGAGCAAAAAUAUUUGUGUCAGCUCUUUUUGUAAUGGCCAAAAACUAGAAAUUGAGUGAAUGCUCAUCAGUUGGAGAAUGGUUGAAUAAGUUAUGAUAUAUGAAUGUUAUGAAAUAUUAUUGUUCUAUAAGAAAUGAUCAGCAGGAUGAUUUAGGAGAAUCCAGGAAUUAAUGCUGAGUGAAACAAGCAGAACAAGGGGAUCAUUGUAACCAGCAAUAAGAUUAUAUGAUGAUCAAUUCUGAUGGACAUGGUUCUUUUCAACAAUGAGAUGAUUGAGGUCAGUUCCAAUGAUCUUAUGAUGAACAGAGCCAUCUACACACAGAGAGAAGAUUGUGGGAACUGAGUGUGGAUCAUGACAUAGCAUUUUCAUUCUUUUUGUUGUUGUUUGCUUGUAUUUUCUUUUUUUUUCAUUUUUUCCUUUUUGAUUUGAUUUUUUUUCUUUUUGAUCUGAUUUUUUUCCUGUGCAGCAAGAUAAUUGUAUAGACAUAGAUAUAUACAUACAUUAGGUUUAACAUAUAUCUUAACAUAUUUAACAUAUAUUGGAUUACUUGCCAUCUAGAAGAGGAUGCUAGGGAAAGGGGAGAGAAAUUUGGAAGACAAGGUUCUGCAAGGAUCAAUGUUGAAAAUUUAUCCAUGCAUAUAUUUUUUUAAAUUUUUUAUUAAAUUUUUUUAUUUACAAAACAUAUGCAUGGGUAAUUUUUCCAACAUUGACCCUUGCAAAACCUUUUGUUCCAAAUUUUCCCCUCCUUUCCCCCAUCCCCUACCCUAUCUGGCAGGUAGUCCAAUACAUGUUAAAUAUGUUAAAAUACAUAUUAAGUCCAAUAUAUGCCUACAUAUUUAUAUAGUUAUCUUGCUGCACGAGAAAAAUCAGAUCAAGAAGGAAGAAAAAGAAAAACUGAGAACAAAAACAAAAUGCAAGCAAAAAACAGAGAGAGUGAGAAUGCUAUGUUGUGUUCCACACUCUGUUACCACAGUUCUCUCUCUGGGUGCAGAUGGCUUUCUUCAUCACUGAACAAGUGGAACAGGUUUGAAUCAUCUCAUUGUUGAAGAGAGUUACAUCCAUUAGAACUGAUCAUCAUAUAGUCUUGUUGCCGUGUAUAAUGAUCUUCUGGUUCUCAUGCAUAUGUUUUGAAAAUAAAAUAACUUUAAUAUAAAAAAAUCAGAUUUUUUUUUCCCUGUACUGAUGAAUAACAGAUAAUCAUCUGCCAUAAAUAUUUUCCUUCCCUAGUAAUCACUGAUAAUCCUGUUCAGUACCAAAGCUCAAAAUUUACCCAAUGGUUUUUAUAGUAUAAACUUCAGUGGAUAUAUCACUGUGUUUCCUGACCACCUUGACUCAGCCCUAAACCAAAACCUUACUCCUCCCAACUUCUUCAGCUCUCUCCCCACUUGAUCUGAGGUGAAGAAAGGAGACAACUACCAUUCUUUGAUGUUAAGAGAAAACACCUGUAUCACACAGAACAAAUUGCCAUCCUAAGAAUAGAAACCCCACUGCAAAAUAACAAUUCUACUCAAAUUCUGGGUGUGAACUCAAAUUCUGGUUAGUAGUUGCCUGGUCUGGUAGAAGUUAGCUGCACAUUUCUCCAGCCUGUCCCUUUCUACUCACAGCACACCCACUCUAAUUCACACAAUCCCUCAACAUCUUUCUCCUUGACUUUUGAAAUAGUUUUCUAAUGUAUCAUCUACUACAAUCUAUUUUCUCCAGAGCAUACAAAGAGCUGCUAAAUUGUUAUCCCCAAAGUUCUGACCAUUUUCCACUCCAGAAGUUUCAUGUGGCCCCUUCUUGCCUCUAGGAGAAAUUUCACUUAUCCUUAAAACUUCAUAAUCCUUUUUUUUUUUUUGCCUCUAAUGUUAUUUAUUUUAAUCUGAAUUUAAGAAAUAAAACAAACAUUUGCAUAUCAUCAAAAAUGAGGGGGAAAUAUGAUUGUAUAUGAAACUGGAAAUCUCUGAUGCAUACUGGUUAUGUGACCCUUGGGAAAUUAUUUACUUUCUUUUUUAUUAUAUUAUAUAUAUAUUAUAUUAUGUAUAUUUUUGUUUGCAAAACAUAUGCGUGGGUAGAACCUUGAAAAACCUUCUGUUCCAACUUUUUCCCUCCUUCCCCCCACUACCUGCUCUAGAUGACAGGUAGUUCAACACAACUUCAUAAUCUUUAAAAAAAAUUAAUAAUGGCUUUUUAUUUUUAAAAUACAUACAAAGAUAGUUUUCAACAUCCACUCUUGUAAAACCUUGUGUUCCAAUUGUUUCUCCCUUCUUUUCCCACACUUCCCUCCCCAAGUCAGCAAGUAAAUAUAUGUUAACCAUGUGCAAUUUUCUAAACAUAUUUCCACAUUUAUCAAGUUGCAUAAGAGAAAUCUGAUGAAAGGGGUGGGGAGGGGAAGAAAGAAAGAAAAAGCAAGGAAAAACCGUUAAAAUAUGAAAAUACUAUAUUUUGAUCUAUAUUCAAUCCUUAUACUCCUUUUUCUGGAUACAGACAGCUCUGUACAUCACAAGUCUAUUGGAAUUGGACUGAAUCACCUUAUUGUUGAAAAAACCCAUAUGAAUCAGAGUUGAUCAAAAGCAAUCUUGUUGCUGUCUACAAUGGUCUCUUGGUUCUCAUUUCACUUAGCAUCAGUUCAUGUAAAUUUCCCCAGGACUUUUUGAAAUCAUCCUGCUGAUUGUUUGUUAUAAAAUGAUAAUAUUCCAUUACAUUCAUAUAUUACAACUUAUUCAGCCGUUUUGUAACUGCUGGACAUCUACUCAAUUUCCAAUUCCUUGCCACUACAAAAAAGGGCUACUACAAACAUUUUUGUACAUAUCUUCACAAUCUUUUCAGACAGAUUGAUGACACAGGACUUUUCCAACUAAAUUUUCCUGCUUGCUCUUGUACAUUCAUAAUGUUUCCUUUUUUGUUUGGAGUUUUUUGAUGAAACUGUUGAAGUUAAGUCGCUUGCCCAGGGUCACAUAACUAGUAAGUGUCAACUGCCUGAAGCCAGAUAUGAAUGUACAUAAUAUUUCAGUUCUCCUGUUCCUUAUUUGUUACAGGAGCAACUUGCUAGUGGCUGCUGGGGAUCUGAUUCUGACCAGCAGAAUAGUUCCCUUCAUGUGAGAGUAUGAUAAAGAUACAAGAACACUGAGAGGCAAUUGCAUUCUCUGACUUCUCUCCUCUUCCCUUUUGUCUUCAAUUUAUUUCAUUCCCAAUCCACAAGCAACAUCUGCAUCAGUAAAGGCUUAUUUGCAAUUCCUUCAAAUGUGUUAUGAUUCACAGCUGUGGGGGCUUUUGGAGAAUCAACUUGCCCCUUCACACUUAGGCAUGGUCCUUAACAAUUCCUGAUUUUUUUGUUUCAUGGGAACACAAUUAUUUUCCCCCAACAGCAUGAUCAGUAAGUUUUUCCAAUAUUGUGAAGCAGCUGUUAUCUGAGUCCUCAUGCUGAGGAAUGCAAACAGCACUAUCAAAAGUCUUUUCCAUCCUAUUCUCUCUGGAUGGUUUCAGGUUGAGAUGCUAUAGCAGCUGUUGAAUCUUGUGAGAAUUAAUUUACUCUAACAUCAUAAUAGUCCAUCAUGGAGACAAACUUUCU
ensembl:lncRNA